GUAGAAAAUAGCACAGUGGAGAUGAUCAUGUUGUCAGCAGACACACAGGAGUCACACUAUUCACAGAAGAAGCCUUGAGAGGUUUCUGAAAAUGCCUGACAUUCUCCCAAGGUCACAAGGGUAUAAAGACAUUACCUGCCUAAGCAAGACAUCCCUCUGUCAUCAGACACAGGCAGAAAAUGAAACUUCCUUAUCUUCCAUGCCAAUGUGAAAAUAAAGCCAAAUUCAC
rnacentral:lncRNA from 1 species